rnacentral:sRNA from 1 species
GCCAGGCUUGGUGGUGCACGCCUGUAAUUCCAGCAGCUUGGGAGGCUGAGGCAGGACGGUAGAGAGUUCAAAGCCAGCCUCAG